AGCCCCAAGGAUUUAUUUGGGGUGAGACCUGCCCAAUGAGAAAUUUUAAUGGCCGCGGUACUUUGACCGUGCUAAGGUAGCAUAAUCAAUUGACUUUUGAAUGAAGUCUGGAAUGAAAGGGGACACGGAAUUAAGCUAUCAGAUGCUUUUAAAUUGAAUUUACUAAUUAAGUGAGAAGGCUUAAAAGAGAAAAAAGACGAGAAGACCCUAAGAGUUUAAAUAAUUUUGUUGGGGCGACAGAAGGUCAAUUUUAAACACCUUUAAACUUAAUGAGACGGGUGCUAUCAUGUUUAGAAAAACUACCUUAGGGAUAACAGCAUAAUUCUUUAGAGUUUGUGACCUCGAUGUUGGACUAGGAAGCCUCUAGGCUAGCUGCCUAGAAGG
rnacentral:rRNA from 1 species